UACGAAGGGGGCUAGCGUUGUUCGGAAUCACUGGGCGUAAAGCGCACGUAGGCGGAUUGUUAAGUCGGGGGGGAAAUCCUGAGGCUCAACCUCAGAACUGCCUUCGAUACUGGCAAUCUCGAGUCCGGAAGAGGUUGGUGGAACAGCUAGUGUAGAGGUGAAAUUCGUAGAUAUUAGCUAGAACACCAGUGGCGAAGGCGGCCAACUGGUCCGGUACUGACGCUGAGGUGCGAAAGCGUGGGGAGCAAACAGG
rnacentral:rRNA from 1 species